rnacentral:rRNA from 1 species
CCCCUGGACUUCACCAAGCACUUCGUCGCGGUGCCGACGGAGUUCAAGCUCAGGAACAACACUGGCUGCUCCUGGAAGGUGAUGGUCAAGAUGAUGAACGGCAUGGUGACCCUGGAUCAGGGUUGGGCCACCUACGCAGCCGUUCAUCAGAUCAAGAUCGGCUACAUGGUGACGUUCAAGCUCCUCACUCCCGACACCCUCAAGGUCAUCAUCUUCGACGACGAUGGCAUUGAGGUCGUCAACAAAUGCGGGAAGCACGACGAAGCCUUCGCCGCCAAGGAGUAG